rnacentral:rRNA from 1 species
GGAGUUUGGGCCGUGUCUCAGUCCCAAUGUGGCCGUUCACCCUCUCAGGCCGGCUACUGAUCGUUGCCUUGGUGGGCCGUUACCUCGCCAACUAGCUAAUCAGACGCGGGUCCAUCUCGCACCACCGGAGUUUUUCACACUGUGUCAUGCGGCACUGUGCGCUUAUGCGGUAUUAGCAGUCGUUUCCGACUGUUAUCCCCCUGUGUGAGGCAGGUUACCCACGCGUUACUCACCCGUCCGCCACUCAGUAAGCAGAAAGUGCAAGCACUCUCGCUUCUUCGUUCAACUUGCAUGUGUUAAGCACGCCGCCAGCGUUCAUC